GCUGGGCACAGUGGUGCACGCCUGUAAUCCCAGUGGCUUGGGAAGCUGAGGCAGGAGGAUUGUGAGUUCAAAGCCAGCAUCGACAUAAGUGAAGCACUAAGCAACUCAGUGAGACCCUGUCUCUA
rnacentral:sRNA from 1 species